rnacentral:rRNA from 1 species
UUAGUUAGUUGGUGGGUAAAGGCCUACCAAGACAAUGAUGCAUAGCCGAGUUGAGAGACUGAUCGGCCACAUUGGGACUGAGACACGGCCCAAACUCCUACGGGAGGCUGCAGUAGGGAAUCUUCCACAAUGGGCGAAAGCCUGAUGGAGCAACGCCGCGUGUGUGAUGAAGGCUUUCGGGUCGUAAAGCACUGUUGUAUGGGAAGAAAAGUUAAGGUAGGGAAUGACCUUAGCCUGACGGUACCAUACCAGAAAGGGACGGCUAAAUACGUGCCAGCAGCCGCGGUAAUACGUAUGUCCCGAGCGUUAUCCGGAUUUAUUGGGCGUAAAGCGAGCGCAGACGGUUGGUUAAGUCUGAUGUGAAAGCCCGGAGCUCAACUCCGGAAAGGCAUUGGAAACUGGUUAACUUGAGUGCAGUAGAGGUAAGUGGAACUCCAUGUGUAGCGGUGGAAUGCGUAGAUAUAUGGAAGAACACCAGCGGCGAAGGCGGCUUACUGGACUGUAACUGACGUUGAGGCUCGAAAGUGUGGGUAGCAAACAGGAUUAGAUACCCUGGUAGUCCACACCGUAAACGAUGAACACUAGGUGUUAGGAGGUUUCCGCCUCUUAGUGCCGAAGCUAACGCAUUAAGUGUUCCGCCUGGGGAGUACGACCGCAAGGUUGAAACUCAAAGGAAUUGACGGGGACCCGCACAAGCGGUGGAGCAUGUGGUUUAAUUCGAAGCAACGCGAAGAACCUUACCAGGUCUUGACAUCCUUUGAAGCUUUUAGAAAUAGAAGUGUUCUCUUCGGAGACAAAGUGACAGGUGGUGCAUGGUCGUCGUCAGCUCGUGUCGUGAGAUGUUGGGUUAAGUCCCGCAACGAGCGCAACCCUUAUUGUUAGUUGCCAGCAUUCAGAUGGGCACUCUAGCGAGACUGCCGGUGACAAACCGGAGGAAGGCGGGGACGACGUCAGAUCAUCAUGCCCCUUAUGACCUGGGCUACACACGUGCUACAAUGGCGUAUACAACGAGUUGCCAACCUGCGAAGGUGAGCUAAUCUCUUAAAGUACGUCUCAGUUCGGACUGCAGUCUGCAACUCGACUGCACGAAGUCGGAAUCGCUAGUAAUCGCGGAUCAGCACGCCGCGGUGAAUACGUUCCCGGGUCUUGUACACACCGCCCGUCACACCAUGGAAGUUUGUAAUGCCCAAAGCCGGUGGCCUAACCGUAAGGAGGGAACCGU